ACGCUUCUUUUUCCACCGGAGCUUGCUCCACCGGAAAAAGAAGAGUGGCGAACGGGUGAGUAACACGUGGGUAACCUGCCCAUCAGAAGGGGAUAACACUUGGAAACAGGUGCUAAUACCGUAUAACAAUCGAAACCGCAUGGUUUUGAUUUGAAAGGCGCUUUCGGGUGUCGCUGAUGGAUGGACCCGCGGUGCAUUAGCUAGUUGGUGAGGUAACGGCUCACCAAGGCCACGAUGCAUAGCCGACCUGAGAGGGUGAUCGGCCACAUUGGGACUGAGACACGGCCCAAACUCCUACGGGAGGCAGCAGUAGGGAAUCUUCGGCAAUGGACGAAAGUCUGACCGAGCAACGCCGCGUGAGUGAAGAAGGUUUUCGGAUCGUAAAACUCUGUUGUUAGAGAAGAACAAGGAUGAGAGUAACUGUUCAUCCCUUGACGGUAUCUAACCAGAAAGCCACGGCUAACUACGUGCCAGCAGCCGCGGUAAUACGUAGGUGGCAAGCGUUGUCCGGAUUUAUUGGGCGUAAAGCGAGCGCAGGCGGUUUCUUAAGUCUGAUGUGAAAGCCCCCGGCUCAACCGGGGAGGGUCAUUGGAAACUGGGAGACUUGAGUGCAGAAGAGGAGAGUGGAAUUCCAUGUGUAGCGGUGAAAUGCGUAGAUAUAUGGAGGAACACCAGUGGCGAAGGCGGCUCUCUGGUCUGUAACUGACGCUGAGGCUCGAAAGCGUGGGGAGCAAACAGGAUUAGAUACCCUG
rnacentral:rRNA from 1 species